rnacentral:rRNA from 1 species
GGCGUGGGCCCGCACAAGCGGGGGAGCAUGUGGUUUAAUCCGAUGCAGACCGGAGAACCUUACCAGGGCUUGACUGUCGGUGGUAGGCGGCCGAAAGGUCAGCCGACCUGAUGCUCUCUGGCCAGAGAGCCUCUGUGGUCGGGGCCUCGGGAGCCGACACAGGUGCUGCACGGCUGUCGUCAGCUCGUGCCGUGAGGUGUGGGGUUCAGUCCUCAAACGAGCGCAACCCUCGCCGCUAGUUGCCCGGGGGGUCCCCCGCCCCGGGGGACCCCCCGGGCUCUCUAGCGGGACUGCCGGGGUGACCCGGAGGAAGGCGGGGACGACGUCAAGUCAGCGUGGCCCUGAUGCCCUGGGCCACACACAUGCUACAGUGGGGGGGGACAGCGGGCGGCCACCCCGCGAGGGGGAGCGAAUCCCUGAAACCCUCCCUCGGUUCCGAUCGGAGUCUGCAACCCGACUCCGUGAAGCCGGACCCGCUAGUAACCGCCGGUCAGCGAUACGGCGGUGAAUACGUUCUCGGGCCCUACACAGAUCGCACGCCACGUCCCGGGCACGGGUGGAUCGGAAGGCCGGCUGGCUCAGGAGACGCUCGGGAACCGGGACGAAGGCGUAGCAAAGUAGCCGUACGGGAACGUGCGGCUG